AACGAUCAAUAACAACAGCGGCGGCAGCAGCAGCAGCACUACCUCUUCGGAAAAGUGAUUGUCCACAAAGCAAAUUUGAAGUUCAAUUGGUGAAGGUACCGUUCGCAGUCGUCGAGGUAGUAGUGAUUGUAAAUAAUCGCGUGGCUACUUGUUGUGUGGCAAUAUGGGUGGCGGCGGCGACUACCAACAACAAUAACUUUUAAUUUUUGGUUUUUUUCUCUCUUCUUUUUCGUUUUGUUUUUUGUUGUUUUUUUUUUUCUCCCCAAAACCGUAUUUGUAUAUCCGGCGGAAACGUUAUGUUUGCGACUUCAGGUUGCUGCGAUCGAUGCCUUUAUUCAAAUGCUAUUGAAUUUUGGUAGAACGUGUGUGCGCCUGUGAGUGAUGGUGUAGUUUUGAUUUUAAAAUAAAUUU